CUUGUUAUUUCUAUAAAUUUCUUUUCCUAAUGAUAAUUGAGACAGAUUUGUACUUUACGUUCUGAAUUUUAUGUUGUCAAUUAAAUCUUCAGGUCACAAAUUUAGUAGUAAUGUGUAGACAUCUAUUUCAAUGCAUUGUUUAUAGAGUGAAUAACUCGAGUAUGCGCUAAUUGUUCUUUGGUUGCUAAUUUUCUAAUCAAAUCCAUCAUGGUAACCAUGCCAUGUAGUUUCUAUUUCUAAAUGGAUUUUGAUGAUGAAGGUCCUCUAAUGGAGGGAGAAUGGUCAUUCCUCCAUCCCAUGUCCCCUAGGUAGGAUGCCAUGAAGUGCUUUAUAUUGGCAGGCACAUCCUUAAUUACCGUGACUUUUUCUAAAAGAAGUUGUGCACGUCUAAGGCCCAAAGUAAACAAUAUUAUGCUAGUGGGAUGGGUCUACAUCAGUUUGGCUUCAGAACUUAGGCAUGUGUGGGAUGUAUGAGGGAUCCUGCGAGGAUGAAUGUGCAUGAUGCAUUCCAUGAUUCCAAGCUUGUGUACGUGUUGGGUUGAGCAUAUGGUGAAAGUAACUUUGGAGAAUAUACAGAUAAAAGCAUUCUAGGCCUAGCCAGUGGUGGAUGAAGUAGAGAAAGAGAAUAAGAAGAUAGAUGGGCAGUCAGGACAGAUCAGUGAAACUUAGGAAGCAAUGAAGACUGCCGCAUCUCGUGGUCUCGAAUAUUUUUCAGUCCUUUUCUUGAAUUCAACCACAUGAUGACCCAUGUUAAAAGUUGGCUUCACUUGAUGACUCACGAAACGAUGAAGGUUUCAUAAGCAGAGUUGUCAGAGGCACGGACCGCCGCAUCUUGUGGUACACUUGUACUAAUUUUCUCCUUUUUCCUGAUCUUUGAUAUUAUGAUCUCUUGAAUCUUUUCAAAGUACUUCAACUUUAAAAUGUGGCUGCUCCGCUGCUAUGAUGUGACAAACUUUGUUAAGCAUAUUUGCCAGUUUUUUUUGUUCAAUUCGAUCACAUGAUGAACCAUGUUAAAAGGUUGGCUUCUCCUGAAAGACAGCUAAAUCUAAACUGCUGCAUUUGAAGGGGCUGUCACUUGCAUCUUCUGUUUAUAGGUUCUUGGAACAAUGUCAAACCUAUACAUAAUUUUAGAUAUCUUCCUUUGUGCCUAUGUAUUGUCCAUGGCUUCCGGUGCACAAAUUGGUGGCAUAUUGUACCAUUCCUUCUGUUCCUUUAUGAUUAAUUCUGGUUUUAAAGAUUUCGAUCAUGCGUUUUAACCCUUAAUUUUGACCCGUU